AGAAGAAUACUAAAGGAGUUGUUCCCCGCUACUCAAAAAUGUAAAAGCUUAUGUAGACGUGCACGAAGAACAACGGUAGCUGAUGAUAAUUUGUCUUACGACGCCAAUGUGAAGAAAAUUAUUGAUUUGUUCUCUUCGUCUGAUGGAGCCAUUACACAAGACAUAAUUACGUUGUGGAAAGUUACUUUCACUGGUAGGCGUAAACAAUUCGCUGACUGUGUGCUUUCAACAGUUGUCCAGGAAGUCGUGAAAAAUGUGUGUCCCCUGCUUCAGUUUCAGCCUUUUCUUAAUGAAGAAUUGGGAGGAAUCUUGGGUGGAGGAAUGGUAAAAAAAUACCGCAGAUAACUGGACUAAUUGCGUCCCGAAAAAAGUUUCUGUUGCUCAAACUUCCAAGUCCAAGGCUGUCGUAAGCAACGCGAGUUUUUACUCAGACUUGUCUG